GCCAGGCACAGUGGCACAUGCCUGUAAUCCCAGCAGCUCUGGAGGCUGAGGCAGGAGGAUCGUGAGUUCAAAGCCAGCCUCCGCAAUUUAUUGAGGUACUAAGCAACUCACUGAGACCCUGUCUUUA
rnacentral:sRNA from 1 species